CCUACGGGUGGCAGCAGUCGAGAAUCAUUCGCACUGGGGGAAACCCUGAUGGUGCGACGCCGCGUGGGGGCAUGAAGGUCAUCGGAUUUUAACCCCCUGUCAUGUGGGAGCAAAUUAAAAAGAUAGCACCACAAGAGGCAGAGACGGCUAACGCGGUGCCAGCAGCCGUGGUACUACAGAGGUCUCAAGCGUUGUUCGGAAUGACUGGUCAUAAAGCGUGCGUAGGCUGUUUCGCAAGGCGGGUGUGAAAGGCGCGGGCUCAACACGGGGACGGCACAUGAUACUGCGAGACUAGAGUAAUGGAGGGGGAACCGGAAGUCUGGGUGUAGCAGUGAAAUGCGUAGAUAUAGAGAGGAACACUCGUGGCGAAGGCGGGUUCCUGGACAUUAACUGACGCUGAGGCACGAAGGCCAGGGGAGCGAAAGGGAUUAGAUACCCUUGUAGUC
rnacentral:rRNA from 1 species